UACGAAGGGGGCUAGCGUUGUUCGGAAUCACUGGGCGUAAAGCGCACGUAGGCGGUUUUGCCAGUCAGGGGUGAAAUCCCGGGGCUCAACCUCGGAACUGCCCUUGAUACAGCAAAUCUCGAGUCCGGAAGAGGUGAGUGGAAUUCCUAGUGUAGAGGUGAAAUUCGUAGAUAUUAGGAAGAACACCAGUGGCGAAGGCGGCUCACUGGUCCGGCACUGACGCUGAGGUGCGAAAGCGUGGGGAGCAAACAGG
rnacentral:rRNA from 1 species